CGGCUGGGAGAGGUCAAAGGGAAUCUGUAAGAAGUGUGGACUGAGCAAGGGGAAAGGUACCAGCAUCUUGUGACUGGAAAGCAAAGCACCAUCUGGAAGGAUCUCUCCUCAAAGCUCUAUUAGCUACAGACUGAAAGUGGGGACUGAUUUUAUGUGGGAGAAAUCUGGUCACUCACCAGGCCAGGAGACCAAGACUGACAAUACCCCAGGUGGGACGUGUAGGCCCAGGGUGCCCCCGAGGUGGUGCUCCAACACAGCCGGCAUCCCUCCUGAGGCUGACCAUGGAAGGAUUGGGCUGGCCCUGCUGGGGGUCCACGAGAAUGAAAGAUCACUCUCUUCAAGUUGUUGAGGACAGGAGAGGCGAAGAAAGGCUGUUGGCUUCCAUAUGGAUGGCUACUCAAUAUAAGUGGGUCAGCAACAACCCGCCUUCUAAUCAGAGAUGGCUGUGCCAGCUGGAGGACCGAUUGCCUCACACACCUUGGAGGCCCAGGCAGGAAGGAAGGUGGGCCUUGGCUANNNNNNNNNNNNNNNNNNNNNNAAGAGAUCUUUCUUGGAGGUAGGCCCUGCGCACCUGUGCCUUCUUGGACCCAGGACUGCCAAGAGGAGAUGGCCAUUGACAAGGAGCAGUUGCUACCAUGCCAAAGCUCCCUGGAAGAGGAAAUUCCUUUCCAACAGAGCUCUCCAGGAGAAGCAGAGAAAGAUCUCCGUGCUCCGAGAUUAGCUAGGAUUGCUGGGGAGGCACGUGGUGAUGAUGGUAACAGCAACAGUAAUGACACACUGUGGGUCUGCUCUCAGGCACAGCACCAAACGCUUGACCUGGAUUGUUUCAUUUAAUCUACUCGGCAACCACGUGAGAUAGGUGUUUCAGUUGUCUCCAUUUUACAGAUGAAGAAACUGAGGUAGAGUGAGGUUAAACCACUUGUCAAAGUCAGCGCCAGCUUUGAAUCCUGGUGGUCUGAGCUGGGGUCUUGGCUCUGUCCAACUUUGUGAUGUUGCCUCCUCCUGGAAGUUCUUGCUGAUCAGCUGUAAACAGCUCAGAGGUUUCUUUAUGAAAAAGGUAUAAAUAAAGGAAAAUGCAGAUAGUCUUUUUUUCUUAAC
rnacentral:lncRNA from 1 species